UACGUAGGUGGCAAGCGUUGUCCGGAUUUAUUGGGUUUAAAGGGUGCGUAGGCGGCUUUGUAAGUCAGUGGUGAAAUAUGGCAGCUCAACUGUCAGGGUGCCAUUGAUACUGCGGAGCUUGAGUACAGAUGAGGUAGGCGGAAUUGACGGUGUAGCGGUGAAAUGCAUUGAGAUCGGAAAGAACACCAACGGCGAAAGCACUCUGCUGGGCCGACACUGACACUGAGAGGCGAAAGCUAGGGGAGCAAAUGGG
rnacentral:rRNA from 1 species